rnacentral:misc_RNA from 1 species
GAUGAAGAACGUAGUGAAAUGCGAUAAGUAAUGUGAAUUGCAGAAUUCAGUGAAUCAUCGAAUCUUUGAACGCACAUUGCGCCCACCAGUAUUCUGGCGGGCAUGCCUGUUCGAGCGUCAUUUCAACCCUCAGGCCCCCAGUGCCUGGUGUUGGGGAUCGGCAGCAGGGCGUCAAGCCCGCCGGCCCCGAAAUCUAGUGGCGGUCUCGCUGUAGUCCUCCUCUGCGUAGUAGCACAACCUCGCAGUUGGAACGCGGCGGUGGCCAUGCCGUUAAACACCCCACUUCUGAAAGUUGACCUCGGAUCAGGUAGGAAUACCCGCUGAACUUAAGCAUAUCAAUAAGCGGAGGA